UUCGGAUUGUAGUCUGNAACCCGACUACAUGAAGCUGGAAUCGCUAGUAAUCGCGAAUCAGAAUGUCGCGGUGAAUACGUUCCCGGGUCUUGUACACACCGCCCGUCACACCAUGGGAGUCGGAAAUGCCCGAAGUCAGUGACCCAACCGUAAGGAGGGAGCUGCCGAAGGUGGAGCCGGUAACUGGGGUGAAGUCGUAACAAGGUAAC
rnacentral:rRNA from 1 species